rnacentral:rRNA from 1 species
UACGGAGGGUGCGAGCGUUGUCCGGAAUCAUUGGGCGUAAAGCGCACGUAGGCGGUUUGUUAUGUCGGAUGUGAAAGCCCUUGGCUCAACUGAGGAAGUGCAUCCGAAACUGGCAGCUAGAGUACUAAAGAGGGUCGCGGAAUUCCCGGUGUAGAGGUGAAAUUCGUAGAUAUCGGGAGGAACACCGGUGGCGAAGGCGGCGACCUGGGUAGAUACUGACGCUGAGGCGCGAAAGCGUGGGGAGCGAACGGG